rnacentral:SRP_RNA from 1 species
GCCAGGUGUGGUGGCGCACACCUGUAAUCCCAGCUCUUGGGAGGCUGAGGCAGGAGGAUCGCUGGGAGUUUGAGACUAGCCUGGGAUACAUAGUGAGUUCCAGGUCAGUCUCAACUACAUAGUGAGAUCCCGUCUCAA